rnacentral:rRNA from 1 species
CAGUAGCCACGGUAAUACGUAGGUCCCGAGCGUUGUCCGGAUUUAUUGGGCGUAAAGCGAGCGCAGGCGGUUAGAUAAGUCUGAAGUUAAAGGCUGUGGCUUAACCAUAGUACGCUUUGGAAACUGUUUAACUUGAGUGCAAGAGGGGAGAGUGGAAUUCCAUGUGUAGCGGUGAAAUGCGUAGAUAUAUGGAGGAACACCGGUGGCGAAAGCGGCUCUCUGGCUUGUAACUGACGCUGAGGCUCGAAAGCGUGGGGAGCAAACAGGAUUAGAUACCCCUGUAGUCCCUGUCUCUUAUACC